rnacentral:lncRNA from 1 species
CAUAAUAACCUAAUCUUUCUCCUCAGCACACAGAUGCCCUCUUGGGCUUCCCAUCCAGGUCCAUUUUCUGUGUAGUAGCCAAAAGUCUUUUAAAGAACCAUUUAUUGACUUAUUUUACUAUGUUUUAUAUACAUUAUCUACAUUGUCUCCUUACUUCACAGACACCUACAGAAGAAUGCUUCUUAUCUGCAGCAGAUCCACAUUGCCUGACCGUUUGGGUCCUGCAUGGCACACGUUUCGUACACGUGCUGCCUCCACCAGUAUCAAGCACUGCUGAGUUUGUGUGGAAGGGCAACAACUCCACCUAACAAAUACAUUCAUCUGGAAAGAGGCAAGAAGGGAAAGAGAUUCUGAUACUGAAGCUACUAUUUAUUAUUUGUAAAUCAAUUUGACACCUUUGGAACCAAAGCAGCAACCCAAGAACAAAGUAUGAUUUAGCCUCAAGUGUAAAGUGAGCCACUACCAAGAUGUUCCUGCCAGUGACUCUGCCUCAGGUGUCCUGGAAAAGCUGCUGUGGACAGUUGUGACCUGGCUAAUCAACUGGACAGGAAAAAGCUACUAACAAUAAAACAGAGGCCAAAAUUCUUGUUAGCA